rnacentral:rRNA from 1 species
UAGUCCACGCCCUAAACGAUGCUAACUCGAUGUUUGGUAUUUAUAUUGAGCAUCCAAGCGAAAGCGUUAAGUUAGCCACCUGGGGAGUACGUUCGCAAGAAUGAAACUCAAAGGAAUUGACGGGGGCCCGCACAAGCGGUGGAGCAUGUGGUUUAAUUCGAUGCAACGCGAAGAACCUUACCUACCCUUGACAUUGACAGAUUCUGAAAGGAAUUUUCUCUUCGGAGCAGAUAGCAAGGUGCUGCAUGGUUGUCGUCAGCUCGUGCCGUGAGGUGUUGGGUUAAGUCCCGCAACGAGCGCAACCCCUAUGAAUAGUUGCCAGCAUGUAAUGAUGGGGACUCUAUUCAGACUGCCUACGUAAGUAGCGAGGAAGCGGGGAUGACGUCAAAUCAUCAUGGCCUUUAUGCCUAGGGCGACACACGUGCUACAAUGGCCGGUACAGAGGGCAGCCAACCCGCGAGGGGGAGCCGAAUCCCAGAAAGCCGGUCCCAGUUCGAAGUU